AUGCUGUGUCUCUCAAGAUCAGUACUUGCUAUUAUCUCUAUUGAGGUAGUGCUCAGUGUGGUUGAGUACAGAGCGAUGGGCAGCACGCUGUUGGGUUUUGAAACUGGGCUCCCUCAGCAAGGAACAGGUCUGGAUCUCAUGGCUGCAGAAACUAUCCCUGUAAUACUGGUUUGGUGAGUAACUUUUGCUGAUCCUACACUAUUUCAUGAUUUCACAUGGGAAAUAGCCUUUCUAGAACAGUAAAUGAUAUACUAAGUGUAUGUGGAUGCCCCAUCCCUGGAGGCAUUGAAGGCCAGGCUGGAUGUGGCUCUGGGCAGCCUGGUCUAGUGGUUGGUGACCAUGUA
rnacentral:lncRNA from 1 species